ACGAACGCUGGCGGCGUGCUUAACACAUGCAAGUCGAACGGAAAGGCCCUGCUUUUGUGGGGUGCUCGAGUGGCGAACGGGUGAGUAACACGUGAGUAACCUGCCCUUGACUUUGGGAUAACUUCAGGAAACUGGGGCUAAUACCGGAUAGGAGCUCCUGCUGCAUGGUGGGGGUUGGAAAGUUUCGGCGGUUGGGGAUGGACUCGCGGCUUAUCAGCUUGUUGGUGGGGUAGUGGCUUACCAAGGCUUUGACGGGUAGCCGGCCUGAGAGGGUGACCGGCCACAUUGGGACUGAGAUACGGCCCAGACUCCUACGGGAGGCAGCAGUGGGGAAUAUUGCACAAUGGGCGGAAGCCUGAUGCAGCAACGCCACGUGCGGGAUGACGGCCUUCGGGUUGUAAACCGCUUUCGCCUGUGGCGAAGCGUGAGUGACGGUAAUGGGUAAAGAAGCACCGGCUAACUACGUG
rnacentral:rRNA from 1 species